rnacentral:sRNA from 1 species
UGAGGUGAUCGAUGUGUGGUAAUGGGAAACUGUCUACGCAGACUCUCCAUUUGCCGUUUUUCUUUU